GUUGGCAGGUUCGUGCAGCACACUGGAGGUUCGGGAGCGCGUGAUGACCAUCAUGUCCAAGAUACUGCAGCUCGAGGACACCAUAGCCGUCCAGAGCAAUGAUAUCUUGGAUUGAAAUCUGCAGAAGGCCACGAUAGGAAACCGGUUAACUCCGUGGAAGUACAUCCUCUCCUCCUCUGAUGUUGAUGUGAAAUCUCCUUCUACAAGGUAACUAGACAAUCCAUUCCUACAAAUUUGCAAGCUUUGUUUCUCUCAAGUCUUCCACUCAACCCCAGACAAUAUUUCAUUGAAUCUGUGAAUUUUCUCCUGAACUGAUAGAUGCAGUUGCAGGUCAAAACAUUGUGAUAUGAGGUAACGGAAAUAUUUAUGGAGGAAAUUUACUUUUACACAUCGUAUAGGUUAUCUUUAUCUAAAUCAUGUGGUCCUUUUUCAGUUAUGAGUUGCAGUAGUUCUACAUGAAGAUUAUAAAUUAGGUACGAUUGUUUUUGCUUUCUAAUUCAUGAGUACAAGCGUACAAACUCGGUAUCUAUUUUCACCAUGUCAUGGCACGGCAACCGUGGGGCGAAUAUGAUUGAACCUUAUAAGCUGGCCUCAAGAACAUAAACACCGGUUCCAUUUUAUUUCCCCGGACCUCAUAAAUAGUCAUUUUGCUUAUAACAGUUCCGAGGUAUGACAAAAAGAUUAAGCAGAAAGCAAUGCUUGCUACAGAUUUCUGUAACUGUCUUCUUUUUUUUCUUUAGAAUGUCUAGCCCUUUGUAUAUAUUUCCUAGAGAUAAAAAAAACCUAAUCGCUCUAGCUGGGCUUAAAUUUAGGACAUUCUUUUUGGUUGUUGAAUAAGGUUUCACAACAGUGGUAGAGAUAGUUCGAACUUGCAAUAGCUCUGUGUCAGAUGAAAAACAACAACACAAGAAGCGAGCAUGUCAAUCAUGGGUAUUGUUAUUGUUCAACUUUUCCAAUAGUGUUGCAGAAAACAUGGUUGUUGCCGAUUGAACGGAUGUUAUGUUUUCAAAGAGAAUUCAAGUUCGUCUUUUAUGUAUUUAUAUGUGCUGAUGCAAUAAAAUUUGAUUGAAUCUUCUUUGAAAUUUAUUUCAGUACUAAUGCAUAACUAAGAAAUGAUAUCUAGCUUGAGCAGCUCAACUACGACGCACUGGAUACACGCUAGGUAUACUGACAUCUUACGCAUAUCUUCGUUUUUAUUUCAGUUAUCACUUUUGGUGUAGAACUCUUUGUCUUCCAUUUUAUACAUGAUGUUACUUUGCUAUAUCAGUUAUGUUGUCCUGACCGGAUAGUUAUCUUUUCUGUAAGCGACACAGGUGGUUGCUGAUUGGUUGACAUUUUAAUUUGGACCUUACUUAAUUCGUACAAGUGUAGUGACACCAUUUUCCAUGUUGGUUUGUUUUGGUAAGCAUUUUCAUGUAUAAAAUGGAAUUGCCGGUCUGCCACUUUAUUACAUAUAGCUUUCAGCCUGAUUGAUCUUAAACAAAACACCAAACAAAAAGGAAAAGUAUGAUUACCGCAUAUCCCUGCUACUGCUCGUAUGGUAGUAUUUAGUAUAUAUCAUUAUUUGAUAUGGCAACUAAUUUAAUUCAUGUUAGGAUGCUUGUCCUAUGAAUGUGAUGCCCUCCACAAGAAACAGCCAGCUGCAUUAGGCAGACAUAAAUCUUCUUUGUUUCGGAACAUGGUGGCCUUUUGGUAGAGGCAUGUGAAGAUUCCAUUUACACAUGAUGUAUACAAUCUACUCCCUCCUCUCCUAAAUUUAAGUUUUUAAGAAAUUUCAAUAUAAACUAAAUACGAAUGUACAUAGACAUAGUUUAGAGCGUAGAUUCACACAUUUUGCUCCAUAUGUAGUCCAUAUUGGAAUCUCUAAAAAGGACUAAUAUUUAUAAACGGAGGGAGUAUUUCUUAUUGCCUAUUAUCUGUACUGAUUAGUUGUAUUUACUAUCUAAAUUGUUCUGUAUGUUGUUAUACCAAGCCAAUUUGUAUAUGUGACCUUGCCUUUACUGAGUAUAUAUAUGAGAUUUUCUUGGAUUACCGACUAAUGUAUGUUUAUGUGUAAAUUCAGUAAUUUCGUG